rnacentral:tRNA from 1 species
GGCCCGUUCGUCUAGUGGCCUAGGACGCCGCCCUCUCACGGCGGAAACAGGGGUUCGAUUCCCCUACGGGCUGCCA